GUGCGAGCGUUGUCCGGAAUCACUGGGCGUAAAGGGUGCGUAGGCGGCCGUGCAAGUCUGGCGUGAAAGCCCCGGGCUCAGCCCGGGAAGUGCGCUCGAAACUGCGCGGCUCGAGUGCCGGAGGGGAGAGUGGAAUUCCUGGUGUAGCGGUGAAAUGCGUAGAUAUCAGGAGGAAUACCGGUGGCGAAAGCGACUCUCUGGACGGCAACUGACGCUGAGGCACGAAAGCGUGGGGAGCAAACAGG
rnacentral:rRNA from 1 species